UACAGAGGGUGCAAGCGUUAUUCGAAAUUAUUGGGCGUAAAGCGCGCGUAGGUGGUGAGGUAAGUCCUGUGUGAAAUCCUCGGGCUCAACCCGAGAAAGUCAUGGGAAACUGCCUUGCUAGAGUACAAGAGGGGAGAGCGGAAUUCCCAGUGUAGUGGUGAAAUACGUAGAUAUUGGGAGGAACACCGGUGGCGAAAGCGGCUCUCUGGCUUGUUACUGACACUUUGGCGCGAAAGCGUGGGGAUCAAACAGG
rnacentral:rRNA from 1 species